UUGGUCAUUUAGAGGAAGUAAAAGUCGUAACAAGGUUUCCGUAGGUGAGCCUGCGGAAGGAUCAUUAACCGUUACAAACAGUGUGUGCUGCGGCCCCCGAGGUGAGGCAACGAGCCUUCGGGAGGUCUGGGGUCCGCCCCUUCACGCGCACGCGUCUGCCAUCCUUACUUUACGAGCACCUUCUGUUCUCCCUCGGCAUGCGUCCUGCGCUGCCGUUGGAAUUACAAAACUCUUUUUUGCAUCUAGCAUUACCUGUUCCGACAAUAACAAUCGUUACAACUUUCAACAAUGGAUCUCUUGGCUCUGGCAUCGAUGAAGAACGCAGCGAAAUGCGAUAAGUAGUGUGAAUUGCAGAAUUCAGUGAAUCAUCGAAUCUUUGAACGCACCUUGCACCCUUUGGUAUUCCGAAGGGUAUGCCUGUUUGAGUGUCAUUAAAUUCUCAACCCAUUAAAUUUUUUUAAUGGAUUGGACUUGAGGGUUAUUUGUCGGCUCUGUUCGACUCCCUUUAAAUGUAUAAGUGGCUCGACUCCCAUUUAAACUGGUGUGAUAGUUGUAUCUACAUCAUAACAAUGGCAAAUGUAGCUGCUAUCUAAUCGUCGAAAGACAAUUUGAACCAUUUGACCUCAAAUCAGGUAGGACUACCCGCUGAACUUAAGCAUAUCAAUAAG
rnacentral:rRNA from 1 species